GACUUCGUCAGUGCCGGAGUGUGAGGCCCUUUGUAUUUUGGAGCCAUUACCAGAAAGCAGAGCCUCCAGUAGACCUUUUUCAAACUUUCUGUGUUGUUUGCACGUUCGUCCACUGUACCGAGGUAGCAUUUCUUCUCAUUAUGACUCCUGGGGCUGUCCGCCUGCCUCCGGUUCCCAAAACCCUGUGGGUGUGGAAGCUGUGAGGGGAGCUGCUAUCGGAGAGUCUUGCAUUCUGGGACCAGCCACAUCCCUGCUCUUGGUAAAGACCACACACCUGACACCAAGUGGACUAGGAUUCAGGCCGUUGACCAUAUUCUUUCAACUUCAGGAGCAACAGCACCUGGAGGACCCAAAUUUGCUGUCAUCCUCCACGAGGCCUCAGCAGUCUCCAACAUGGAAGGGCACUGAGCCAGCCUGGGGGUUUCCAGGGACCUUCCUGACUGAACACUGGAAAGACCCUUUCAUUCCAUCCUGUCCCCCAGGUGGGACCCCACGCCCUGAGGUGGAACAGAGGUGAAGAGGAAGGGGAGCGGCUCCUGUGCAUUUUAAUAGAAAUGAAUUCAAGUUUCUCUCCUGAAGGACUCAGUUCCUUGGGCCCAAGCUUCUCCAGGCUCUCAUGAAAGGAGAUGAACUGCUUCAGAUAAAGUGCUAAUCUUCAGCCUCAAAGUCCUGCCUUCUCCGCGCUGCUGCGCUGUGAAAGGCUGAAGGAGGUGGAGCUGGGGAGGAAGAUGAAGAUCUGGAGGUCACCCUGACUGCGUUUAAUUUGGGAAGCUAGACCCUUACCUACCCAAGGGCUGUGAUGGUAGCAAGCCCACCUGCAGCCAUCCUCAGAGGGUAGGUGGAGAGUGAAGCCAAGCCCCAGAGCCACAGACUCCAGAAUGAAGGUAUGGACUCCGUGCCUGGACCUGUUACUUGAUUAGGAUUUCUGACCCCAGCUUCUUCCCCAUUUGCCCUGUCACACCACCCCAUAAUGUCCUGUUGCCCCCCUCUUGACCCUUCCUCCCACCCCAAUUCCAUUUAUCACAGUCCACUUGUGGUGUCAGGGCAGAGACGCCCAAGGCACUGAACUCAUCUUGCCACUGUUGGUCGCCCUCUGUGCCUUACAACAAUGUGGGACUUGGGGAUUCUAAACCACCACCCUCACCAAUUCUCUCAAUCCCCAUGACCAUCUCCAUGCCUCCAAGACUCUCUGUGCCAGCCCAGAGGGGAAGCUGUCCGCAAGGUCUCUGGCUCCUUAGUGCAGAGCGGGGUCUACACUAGGUGUAGAGCUCUCUGGUCAGUGCAGCAGUGGGCCUGCCACCCAGACACACAGAGGUGGCUCAGCAAGAGUCAGAGGCCCUCAGACAACAUCGGGAACAGAAGUGGCUGUAUGAGCUUCUAAAAAGCCCCAUCUGGAAGCUGGAGAAACUGGGCCCAUUCCCUAACUCAGAGGAGGCCACAGUCCCUGGGGCAGGAACUGGCCGCCCUCCAGAGUGGGGUUGCCUGGGACCAGGUCCUCAGAAACUGUGAUGGGAGGAGGGCACCUUUACAACAGCAGGUGGAGCACCUGUAAGUCCCGAGUUCCCUUCCCCAAAGACCAAGAAAGAGUUUGGAGAAGACUGGAGCCAGCCUUGCCUUCUCCUCUCC
rnacentral:lncRNA from 1 species